CACACUAUCAUUAACUGAAUCCAUAGGUUAAUGAGGCGAACCGGGGGAACUGAAACAUCUAAGUACCCCGAGGAAAAGAAAUCAACCGAGAUUCCCCCAGUAGCGGCGAGCGAACGGGGAGCAGCCCAGAGCCUGAAUCAGUGUGUGUGUUAGUGGAAGCGUCUGGAAAGGCGCGCGAUACAGGGUGACAGCCCCGUACACAAAAAUGCACAUGCUGUGAGCUCGAUGAGUAGGGCGGGACACGUGGUAUCCUGUCUGAAUAUGGGGGGACCAUCCUCCAAGGCUAAAUACUCCUGACUGACCGAUAGUGAACCAGUACCGUGAGGGAAAGGCGAAAAGAACCCCGGCGAGGGGAGUGAAAAAGAACCUGAAACCGUGUACGUACAAGCAGUGGGAGCACGCUUAGGCGUGUGACUGCGUACCUUUUGUAUAAUGGGUCAGCGACUUAUAUUCUGUAGCAAGGUUAACCGAAUAGGGGAGCCGAAGGGAAACCGAGUCUUAACUGGGCGUUAAGUUGCAGGGUAUAGACCCGAAACCCGGUGAUCUAGCCAUGGGCAGGUUGAAGGUUGGGUAACACUAACUGGAGGACCGAACCGACUAAUGUUGAAAAAUUAGCGGAUGACUUGUGGCUGGGGGUGAAAGGCCAAUCAAACCGGGAGAUAGCUGGUUCUCCCCGAAAGCUAUUUAGGUAGCGCCUCGUGAAUUCAUCUCCGGGGGUAGAGCACUGUUUCGGCAAGGGGGUCAUCCCGACUUACCAACCCGAUGCAAACUGCGAAUACCGGAGAAUGUUAUCACGGGAGACACACGGCGGGUGCUAACGUCCGUCGUGAAGAGGGAAACAACCCAGACCGCCAGCUAAGGUCCCAAAGUCAUGGUUAAGUGGGAAACGAUGUGGGAAGGCCCAGACAGCCAGGAUGUUGGCUUAGAAGCAGCCAUCAUUUAAAGAAAGCGUAAUAGCUCACUGGUCGAGUCGGCCUGCGCGGAAGAUGUAACGGGGCUAAACCAUGCACCGAAGCUGCGGCAGCGACGCUUAUGCGUUGUUGGGUAGGGGAGCGUUCUGUAAGCCUGCGAAGGUGUGCUGUGAGGCAUGCUGGAGGUAUCAGAAGUGCGAAUGCUGACAUAAGUAACGAUAAAGCGGGUGAAAAGCCCGCUCGCCGGAAGACCAAGGGUUCCUGUCCAACGUUAAUCGGGGCAGGGUGAGUCGACCCCUAAGGCGAGGCCGAAAGGCGUAGUCGAUGGGAAACAGGUUAAUAUUCCUGUACUUGGUGUUACUGCGAAGGGGGGACGGAGAAGGCUAUGUUGGCCGGGCGACGGUUGUCCCGGUUUAAGCGUGUAGGCUGGUUUUCCAGGCAAAUCCGGAAAAUCAAGGCUGAGGCGUGAUGACGAGGCACUACGGUGCUGAAGCAACAAAUGCCCUGCUUCCAGGAAAAGCCUCUAAGCAUCAGGUAACAUCAAAUCGUACCCCAAACCGACACAGGUGGUCAGGUAGAGAAUACCAAGGCGCUUGAGAGAACUCGGGUGAAGGAACUAGGCAAAAUGGUGCCGUAACUUCGGGAGAAGGCACGCUGAUAUGUAGGUGAAGUCCCUCGCGGAUGGAGCUGAAAUCAGUCGAAGAUACCAGCUGGCUGCAACUGUUUAUUAAAAACACAGCACUGUGCAAACACGAAAGUGGACGUAUACGGUGUGACGCCUGCCCGGUGCCGGAAGGUUAAUUGAUGGGGUCAGCGCAAGCGAAGCUCUUGAUCGAAGCCCCGGUAAACGGCGGCCGUAACUAUAACGGUCCUAAGGUAGCGAAAUUCCUUGUCGGGUAAGUUCCGACCUGCACGAAUGGCGUAAUGAUGGCCAGGCUGUCUCCACCCGAGACUCAGUGAAAUUGAACUCGCUGUGAAGAUGCAGUGUACCCGCGGCAAGACGGAAAGACCCCGUGAACCUUUACUAUAGCUUGACACUGAACAUUGAGCCUUGAUGUGUAGGAUAGGUGGGAGGCUUUGAAGUGUGGACGCCAGUCUGCAUGGAGCCGACCUUGAAAUACCACCCUUUAAUGUUUGAUGUUCUAACGUUGACCCGUAAUCCGGGUUGCGGACAGUGUCUGGUGGGUAGUUUGACUGGGGCGGUCUCCUCCUAAAGAGUAACGGAGGAGCACGAAGGUUGGCUAAUCCUGGUCGGACAUCAGGAGGUUAGUGCAAUGGCAUAAGCCAGCUUGACUGCGAGCGUGACGGCGCGAGCAGGUGCGAAAGCAGGUCAUAGUGAUCCGGUGGUUCUGAAUGGAAGGGCCAUCGCUCAACGGAUAAAAGGUACUCCGGGGAUAACAGGCUGAUACCGCCCAAGAGUUCAUAUCGACGGCGGUGUUUGGCACCUCGAUGUCGGCUCAUCACAUCCUGGGGCUGAAGUAGGUCCCAAGGGUAUGGCUGUUCGCCAUUUAAAGUGGUACGCGAGCUGGGUUUAGAACGUCGUGAGACAGUUCGGUCCCUAUCUGCCGUGGGCGCUGGAGAACUGAGGGGGGCUGCUCCUAGUACGAGAGGACCGGAGUGGACGCAUCACUGGUGUUCGGGUUGUCAUGCCAAUGGCACUGCCCGGUAGCUAAAUGCGGAAGAGAUAAGUGCUGAAAGCAUCUAAGCACGAAACUUGCCCCGAGAUGAGUUCUCCCUGAC
rnacentral:rRNA from 1 species